UCAUGAUAAUGUGACAAGUCAAAAGAUAAUUAUUUAUUAAUUGUUAUUAAUUAAUGUGACGAUUUAAACUAUGAUCAUAAUAUAAUAAAUUGAUAAAACUAUCAAUAAGUCUGCAUUUAAAACACGAAAAAUGGUACAAAAAUGUAUUGUUUUCGAAUGUCAAACAUUAAAGGCAAAUAAAAAUGGUAUUUCUAUUUUUUCUGUACCAAAGGAUCCUAAACUUUUUGAUGCUUGGAAAUCACAUCUCCCAAAGCUAAGGAAUUCAC